AUACGGAGGGUGCAAGCGUUAUUCGGAAUCACUGGGCGUAAAGGGUGCGUAGGCGGUUUGAUAAGUCUGAUGUGAAAUCCUAUGGCUCAACCAUAGAACUGCAUUGGAAACUGUCAGACUAGAAUACUGAAGGGGCAGAUGGAAUUGGUGGUGUAGGGGUAAAAUCCGUAGAUAUCACUAGGAAUACCGAAAGCGAAAGCGAUCUGCUGGGAAGUUAUUGACGCUGAGGCACGAAAGCGUGGGGAGCAAACGGGAUUAGAAACCCUUAGUAGUCC
rnacentral:rRNA from 1 species